rnacentral:lncRNA from 1 species
AUUGAGACAAGCCUGGUUGCCAAAUGUACAAGUCUUUCUCAAAACGCACAUGCCUUGCUCACGUUCUUUCAUGUUUUGCUGGCACACACCAACUCUCUCUCACCAUCUCUAUCUCUCUAGAUCUCUGUCUCUUUCUCUCCAUCUCUACCGUUAUAUAUAGGGGGCAUUGGAGAACCUUGCUUACUAUCUUUCUCUCUUUUCUGUUAAGCUUGGUGUGCUAUAGCUAGCUAGGCUGCUCUCUUCUUACAACAAUGGAAAACCAUGGUGCUGCUAAGCUGAUUAGGACGACUUCUAUGGAAUCUGAGCCUAAAACACUCACCAAGGAGCAGUACGACUUGGCCAGAGUACAUAUGCAAAACCCUACUGAGCUUUUUCUUGCUUGUGUAUAUGUUUAUAGUUUAUACAUGCAUAUAUCUGAGCAUAUUCUAAUUAAUUCCUUUCGUUUCUUUUGUUUCUACAGGCAGCUGCAGCUAUGCACGCAUUUGAGAAAAGGAACAAUGAAGCCAGCGUAAGUACUUCCACUUACGCCGCCACCUAAGAUUAAUAAGGGAAUCGAAUGGGAUUUCAUAUGUUCUUUUGGUUAUAUGGGCCAAUUUCUCUAAAUUAAAAACCAUUGAAAUAUGAAUAAAACACUUUAUCCUUUGAAGAAAAUCUCAUGAUUUUGUCAUUUGAAAUUCAUUAGAAAUUAAUUAUUUUGUUUAAAUGGGUUACAUAGGGGAUUUCAAGGACAGAGGAAGAUCCGAUCUCAAGCUUGAUGAAAGAUCACGUAGGUACUAAGAGCUGUGGAGUGAAGUUUCCUGCAGAAGUUAUGCAGCAUAACCAGUAGUGCCUCUUGAAUCAAGUUCAAGCUGUUGUUAUGUACUGUUUGGAUAGUGCAGUAGCACGAGUUGAGAAUAACAAGUUAGUAGCAAUGAAAUAAAAAUGCAAUGUUAUGGGAACCUGAAGCUGUUUGUAAACGUAGUUGUUACAAACCUUAAGAAUGGAAUUAUAAACAUUUGGGAUAAUAUGUGCUUUGUCUGUGUAUCAUCUUUAAUCAAUUAAAAGUACUCAAUCUGGUUAAUUUGUAUCUGUGUUUCAAAAUCUUGUUUCUAUAUUACAAUGAGGUUUGCUCAUCAAGUGAUGACAGAAGAUAGCACAAUGAGUUAAGGAUAUUGAUUAAGCUGGAUUCAGAGUUCGGUGCAUGCCUCCAAUAUAACGAAAAAAUAAAAUAA